GGCGUCCAUCUUGGCGUCCUAGGAAACGCGACGGAAGUGACGUCAACCCCCGGAACCGCCGGUAUCGACUUCCGGAUGGACGGGUUUCUUUCUGUGAGCGCCGGAGAGGGUAUUGCUUCUAAGGUUUCAGUUGGUGAGAGUCUAGGGCAGAGUUGGCUUCGCAAUCAGCGCCCUCAGAUCCGCUAAAUGAUUUGUUUCAAAAUGAUGAUCCUCUCACGGCCGAAAAUAUCCCAUUUUUCCGGAGCACCGACAUUACGGAUGCCGCCUGCCUCGCUGUGCUCUCUGCCUCCGCAGGUGCCCAAAGCUGAGGAGUACCCUCGUGCGGGCCUCGACUCCCAGCCCCCGGCUUCUUUCUCACUUCUCCCCAGCGAGACCUCGGAGGAGGAAAGGACCGUGGGCACCAGCUGUUGAGCCUCAGGCCUGGCAUUGACCGACCAUUCGGGUGGACUUGAGCAAGAAAUAAACCUCUCCGGGCCUUUCCUCUUCUGCACCCCGGGCAUUAUACCUGCCUCCUCGAUUUGUUGCGGGGUUUAAGUGCGAAGCAUCUGUGUAUUGUUCCUGUUAGCACCCUUUUUCCAACUUCUGAGCAAUUUCACCAGCUGGGAAUGUGGGCCCUAAAUUUAUACUUUCCCAGAAAACUGCCAUCUCCCCUCACUCAUGCUCAUAAAUCGAAAAACACUGUGUCACUAACUCACAAGGUUUUCUGUAUCAAGAAUCCUAUCACACUCCUACCGUGUCCUGUGUUGAGUGUGCUUAACCAUUCAGACGUUUACUGAGCACCUACUGUUUGCUUGGAACUGUUAGGCACUGUGCUAGACAACGGAAAGAUGAAGAAGAUGCGAUGUUACACUUGAGGAGCUCCUGGACCAAAGAUGACCUCAGAGCUGUACUACAGUAUGUUCGGGUAUUUAUGAAUGUAUGGAAGCAUUUUCUUAAGUCAACAGACAUUCCCCAAACAGCUGCAUCUGCUAAAAAUGCCAAGGAAGGAGUGAAGUUAGAAUCUUGUGGAGGAGAUGAUUUCAAUACAAUGUAUGGAAACACUGUAUAUAGGGUUACUCCAGCACAGAAUAAAGGCCUGUGCAUUCUGCGGGGGAGGUGUGGGGAGCAGGGGCAGUGGCUUGAAGUGUGUCAGAUACAGAAGUGGGCAGCCCAGAAAGCCACCCAGAAAGUAAAAUUUAACUUGCUCAGUUGGCGCUCUUUAGAUCUUCUAUGUCAUGGGUAUUUGCAGAAGAAAUGUAGUAAGAAUGUCAAGUGUCUACGGGUUGGAUCAUAUGGCCUUUCUACACAAUACCUCCUCUUUCUUGUUCUGUUUUGUUUUUUCUUUUCAGACU